AACCGCCCUCCAUCGGAACCGUCGGGACCACCGGAGGAUCCCCACGCGGACGAAAGGCGACCUUCUUCUUCCUCGACGGCUGGCUCCCCGCUCGCUCCACCGCGGACCCCUUGGAAGGCCCCAUCUCGGUUGUGAGCUCGGCAUCGGGUCCCGCCAUCUCGCCUAAAAGAACAAAAAUUUGACAAUGGUUAGAAGGAAUAUGGGAAAAUCUCAAAGAGACUAGCAAGCAAAACAGAAAAAAAAAUGGCAGCCAAGCUCCCUGGGCCGCUCAAUCCGCGCGGGUGCAGGAAAGAAGCCAAGCCUCACGGGCCGACGCCCUCGGCCUGCCUGCGCGCGCAAGAAAGAGGUAGGGGAGCCCCAGCGCCACCGGCCUCCGGCCCGCUCGAUCUUACUGUCAAAAA
rnacentral:lncRNA from 1 species